CAGUCGAGGGGCAGCAUGGUCUUAGCUUGCUAAGGCCGAUGGCGACCGGCGCACGGGCUGAGUAACACGUAUCCAACCUGCCGUCUACUCUUGGACAGCCUUCUGAAAGGAAGAUUAAUACAAGAUGGCAUCAUGAGUCCGCAUGUUCACAUGAUUAAAGGUAUUCCGGUAGACGAUGGGGAUGCGUUCCAUUAGAUAGUAGGCGGGGUAACGGCCCACCUAGUCUUCGAUGGAUAGGGGUUCUGAGAGGAAGGUCCCCCACAUUGGAACUGAGACACGGUCCAAACUCCUACGGGAGGCAGCAGUGAGGAAUAUUGGUCAAUGGGCGAGAGCCUGAACCAGCCAAGUAGCGUGAAGGAUGACUGCCCUAUGGGUUGUAAACUUCUUUUAUAAAGGAAUAAAGUCGGGUAUGGAUACCCGUUUGCAUGUACUUUAUGAAUAAGGAUCGGCUAACUCCGUGCCAGCAGCCGCGGUAAUACGGAGGAUCCGAGCGUUAUCCGGAUUUAUUGGGUUUAAAGGGAGCGUAGAUGGAUGUUUAAGUCAGUUGUGAAAGUUUGCGGCUCAACCGUAAAAUUGCAGUUGAUACUGGAUAUCUUGAGUG
rnacentral:rRNA from 1 species